rnacentral:rRNA from 1 species
UACGUAGGCAGCGAGCGUUGUUCGGAGUUACUGGGCGUAAAGGGUGUGUAGGCGGUUGUUUAAGUUUGGUGUGAAAUCUCCCGGCUCAACUGGGAGGGUGCGCCGAAUACUGAAUGACUUGGAGUGCGGGAGAGGAGAGUGGAAUUCCUGGUGUAGCGGUGAAAUGCGUAGAUAUCUGGAGGAAUACCGGUGGCGAAGGCGGCAUCCUGGACCGAGAUUGACACUGAUGAGCGAAAGCCAGGGGAGCAAACGGG